rnacentral:rRNA from 1 species
CCUACGGGAGGCAGCAGUGAGGAAUAUUGGUCAAUGGUCGGGAGACUGAACCAGCCAAGUCGCGUGAGGGAGGAAUGUCCUGUGUAUUGUAAACCUCUUUUGUAAAGGAAUAAAGACUGGCACGCGUGCCUGGUUGCGUGUACUUUAUGAAUAAGGAUCGGCUAACUCCGUGCCAGCAGCCGCGGUAAUACGGAGGAUGCGAGCGUUAUCCGGAUUUAUUGGGUUUAAAGGGUGCGUAGACGGGUUGUUAAGUCAGUUGUGAAAGUUUGCGGCUCAACCGUAAGAUUGCAAUUGAUACUGGCAGUCUUGAGUACAGGUGAGGUAGGCGGAAUGCGUGGUGUAGCGGUGAAAUGCAUAGAUACCGCGAAGAACCCCGAUUGCGAAGGCAGCAUAC